rnacentral:tRNA from 1 species
GCGCUCUUAGCUCAAUGGUAGAGCAGCUGACUCUUAAUCAGUAGGUUCUAGGUUCGAGUCCUAGAGGGCGCA